rnacentral:snRNA from 1 species
ACUUUAUAAGAAACCAAUGUUUUAAAAUUGGAACGAUACAGAGAAGAUUAGCAUGGCCCCCGCGCAAUGAUGACACGCACAAAUCAAGAAAUGGUCCCAAAAAAAUUUAU